ensembl:lncRNA
GGGGUGGCUCCCGGGAGGCGGGGAGGGAGCCGGGACGCCACGUCGCCUGCCCUGCCCGGGCUGCACACUCCGCUCCGCCCAGCCCUGCCGGGCCUCCCCAUAGAAGAACAAACCCUCCCUCUCUGUUCUCCUGGUGCCUGGAGCAUGUGACUGCACCCCCUUGUAGGCUGUGUGUCUCCUCCAGGGAAUGUGCUUCUCUGAUGCAGACACUACACUUUUUUCACCAUGGGAGGGUACAUCCAGUGGCCAAAGCUGGGAUGCAAGAGACUGGACUCAAGCUUGUGAAUCAGGUCAUCCUGCCACCAUCCUGAGCAUAUGGAAGAAAGAACGAGAAGGCCGAGGAAUCUGUGAGGAAAGUUGGAGGAAGAAGGUGUUGUGGGGACAACCCUCCUGGGAGCUCCAUCCACCCACCAUGAUGGCUACCCAAGCAGCAGACCCACAGAGUCUGCGUGCUUCCUCUACCUCCAGGCAGGUUUUCCUGGAACCCCAGACAGACAGAUAGUGACGUUUCUCCUCUCCAGACAGAAAC